UACGUAGGGUGCGAGCGUUGUCCGGAAUUAUUGGGCGUAAAGAGCUCGUAGGCGGUGUGUCGCGUCGGCCGUGAAAACCUGGGGCUUAACUCUGGGCGUGCGGUCGAUACGGGCAUCACUAGAGUUCGGCAGGGGAGACUGGAAUUCCUGGUGUAGCGGUGAAAUGCGCAGAUAUCGGGAAGAACACCCGUGGCGAAGGCGGUUCUCUGGGACGGUACUGACGCUGAGACGCGAAAGCGUGGGGAGCGAACAGG
rnacentral:rRNA from 1 species